CUGCGCGCGCGGAGAGUCGGCGAUCUCGCGGCCACCCUGGCCGCGGAAUCGGGCGUCACCGUGUUCGGGAUCGCGGCCGCGCGGU
rnacentral:tRNA from 1 species